rnacentral:rRNA from 1 species
UGAGGAAUAUUGGUCAAUGGCCGGAAGGCUGAACCAGCCAAGCCGCGUGAAGGACGAAGGUGCCAAGCAUUGUAAACUUCUUUUGUCAAGGGACAAAAUCAGGCUCGAGAGCCUGACCGAGGGUACUUGAAAGAAAAAGCAUCGGCUAACUCCGUGCC